GCGUUGGUAGCCAUCAGAUCUGGAUCGUUCCUUGAUCUGACGGCUACCGUAUGA
rnacentral:pre_miRNA from 1 species